GGAGAAAAGAAACCAACAGGGAUUGCCCUAGUAACGGCGAGUGAAGCGGCAACAGCUCAAAUUUGAAAUCUGGCCCUCGGGUCCGAGUUGUAAUUUGUAGAGGAUGCUUUUGGUGCAGUGCCUUCCGAGUUCCUUGGAACAGGACGCCUUAGAGGGUGAGAGCCCCGUACGGUUGGACACUAAGCCUCUGUAAAGCUCCUUCGACGAGUCGAGUAGUUUGGGAAUGCUGCUCUAAAUGGGAGGUAAAUUUCUUCUAAAGCUAAAUACCGGCCAGAGACCGAUAGCGCACAAGUAGAGUGAUCGAAAGAUGAAAAGUACUUUGAAGAGGGUUAAAUAGCACGUGAAAUUGUUGAAAGGGAAGCGUUUAUGACCAGACCUUUGUCUGGCGGAUCAUCCGGUGUUCUUCACCGGUGCACUUCGCCAGGCUCAGGCCAGCAUCGAUUUCUGUAGGGGGAUAAAAACCAUGGGAACGUAGCUCUCUCCGGGGAGUGUUAUAGCCCUAGGUACAAUACCUUUACGGGGAUCGAGGUUCGCGCUUCUGCAAGGAUGCUGGCGUAAUGGUCAUCAACGACCCGUCUUGAAACACGGACCAAGGAGUCGAACAUUUAUGCGAGUGUUUGGGUGUUAAACCCUCACGCGUAAUGAAAGUGAACGGAGGUGAGAGCCCGUACGGGUGCAUCAUCGACCGAUCCUGAUGUCUUCGGAUGGAUUUGAGUAAGAGCAUAACUGUUCGGACCCGAAAGAUGGUGAACUAUGCGUGGAUAGGGUGAAGCCAGAGGAAACUCUGGUGGAGGCUCGCAGCGGUUCUGACGUGCAAAUCGAUCGUCAAAUCUGCGCAUGGGGGCGAA
rnacentral:rRNA from 1 species